rnacentral:rRNA from 1 species
CCUACGGGCGGCAGCAGUGGGGAAUAUUUGACAAUGGGCGAAAGCCUGAUCCAGCCAUGCCGCGUGUGUGAAGAAGGCCUUCGGGUUGUAAAGCACUUUCAGUGGGGAAGAAAGCCUUGGGGCUAAUACCCUCGAGGAAGGACAUCACCCACAGAAGAAGCACCGGCUAACUCCGUGCCAGCAGCCGCGGUAAUACGGAGGGUGCGAGCGUUAAUCGGAAUUACUGGGCGUAAAGCGCGCGUAGGCGGUCUGAUAAGCCGGUUGUGAAAGCCCCGGGCUCAACCUGGGAACGGCAUCCGGAACUGUCAGGCUAGAGUGCAGGAGAGGAAGGUAGAAUUCCCGGUGUAGCGGUGAAAUGCGUAGAGAUCGGGAGGAAUACCAGUGGCGAAGGCGGCCUUCUGGACUGACACUGACGCUGAGGUGCGAAAGCGUGGGUAGCAAACAGGAUUAGAUACCCGAGUAGUC